CUCUGGUGUGAGCGUUCUGUGACCGCCCUUGUAUACAAGAUCCAGGACUGAUUCCUGACGCCGUGGGAAGCCAGCACCGAAGUCUGUGCACAGCCCUCUUAGACGAGGCCGAAAGCCCUGGGACGUUUAAAUUCGGGUCCAGGCCGGUGUUUUUAGUCUGGUCCACGGCGGUGGGAUUCAGUCUGGCGAUCCGAAUCACCAGUGAGACGUCUGAGGGUGAGAAACACUAUUUUGGUUAGGAA